GAUGAAGAACGUAGCGAAAUGCGAUAAGUAAUGUGAAUUGCAGAAUUCAGUGAAUCAUCGAGUCUUUGAACGCACAUUGCGCCCCCUGGUAUUCCGGGGGGCAUGCCUGUCCGAGCGUCAUUGCUGCCCUCAAGCACGGCUUGUGUGUUGGGCCCCGUCCUCCGAUUCCGGGGGACGGGCCCGAAAGGCAGCGGCGGCACCGCGUCCGGUCCUCGAGCGUAUGGGGCUUUGUCACCCGCUCUGUAGGCCCGGCCGGCGCUUGCCGAUCAACCCAAAUUUUUAUCCAGGUUGACCUCGGAUCAGGUAGGGAUACCCGCUGAACUUAAGCAUAUCAAUAACGGAGGA
rnacentral:misc_RNA from 1 species